UACGAGAGGCCCAAACGUUAUUCGGAAUUACUGGGCUUAAAGAGUUCGUAGGCGGCCUUGCAGGUAGGGUGUGAAAGCUCUCGGCUCAACCGAGGAAUUGCGCUCUAAACUGCAGUGCUUGAGGAACCUAGAGGUGAGCAGAACAGAUGGUGGAGCGGUGAAAUGCGUUGAUAUCAUCUGGAAUACCGGAGGCGAAGGCGGCUCACUGGGAGUUUUCUGACGCUGAGGAACGAAAGCCAGGGUAGCGAACGGG
rnacentral:rRNA from 1 species